UACGUAGGGUGCAAGCGUUAUCCGGAAUUAUUGGGCGUAAAGAGCUCGUAGGCGGUUUGUCGCGUCUGCUGUGAAAACUGGAGGCUCAACCUCCAGCCUGCAGUGGGUACGGGCAGACUAGAGUGCGGUAGGGGAGAGUGGAAUUCCUGGUGUAGCGGUGGAAUGCGCAGAUAUCAGGAGGAACACCGGUGGCGAAGGCGGGUCUCUGGGCAGUAACUGACGCUGAGGAGCGAAAGCGUGGGGAGCGAACAGG
rnacentral:rRNA from 1 species